rnacentral:rRNA from 1 species
UACGUAGGGAGCAAGCGUUGUCCGGAAUCAUUGGGCGUAAAGCGCGCGUAGGCGGCCCUGUAAGUCCGCUGUGAAAGUCAAAGGCUCAACCUUUGAAAGCCGGUGGAUACUGCAGGGCUAGAGUCCGGAAGAGGCGAGUGGAAUUCCUGGUGUAGCGGUGGAAUGCGCAGAUAUCAGGAGGAACACCAAUAGCGAAGGCAGCUCGCUGGGACGGUACUGACGCUAAGGCGCGACAGCGUGGGGAGCAAACAGG